rnacentral:rRNA from 1 species
CGCUGGCGGCAGCUUACACAUGCAAGUCGAACGGACCGUAUACGCAGCUUGCUGCGUGUAUGGUUAGUGGCAGACGGGUGAGUAAUGCAUAGGAAUCUACCUAGUAGUAUGGGAUAGCCACUAGAAAUGGUGGGUAAUACUGUAUAAUCCCUGCGGGGGAAAGAUUUAUCGCUAUUAGAUGAGCCUAUGUCAGAUUAGCUAGUUGGUGGGGUAAUGGCCUACCAAGGCGGUGAUCUGUAGCUGGUCUGAGAGGAUGAUCAGCCACACUGGAACUGAGACACGGUCCAGACUCCUACGGGAGGCAGCAGUGGGGAAUAUUGGACAAUGGGCGCAAGCCUGAUCCAGCUAUGCCGCGUGAGUGAGGAAGGCCUUAGGGUUGUAAAACUCUUUCAGUAGGGAAGAUAAUGACGGUACCUACAGAAGAAGUCCCGGCAAACUC